GGCUUCCUUCUAGCUGGCACACUUUGCAGGGGUUGGUUGUGCGCAGCUAGGGGCAUGAGCGUUGUGGCACCGUGGGACACUGUCUCAGCCUGCGAUUUGAGGGUUAUGAGCGCGGGGAAGAGACAGUUAAAGCUUCCUCACGCCAGCGAGAUGAGUUGUACUACACAGCGCCCAUGCCAGGCCAGCAGUCUGGAUGGAGCCGAGACACUUAACUGCUCGUGCCAAGCAGUGCCAAGCACCUCUGGAAGCCCCUGCUUUAGGGGUCUAAAUCUGGACCCCAGAUUUAGAUUCAUGCUGCAGUCUGGGGGAGUGUUUUGACGUCUGCCGGGCUACCGGGAACAGCGCACUGCACACUGCCUCUGAGAUGAGACAGAGCUCUCCAGCCUGGGAGUCUGAGGAAGCCGGACCUGGGCAACGCUGCUCAGCCAAGAAUGUAUGCUCUCUUAUCUUUGAUGGUCCCUGACACUUUUACAUCACAAGACUCAAAGCAGAAGUGUCCAGACAAUUAGGAGAUAACUCAAGCUGCUGAAUUUGAAAGCUGGGACAUGACUGGUGGAAAAUCAGUAGAGGUGAAGACCCUUUCGUGAUAAAUUGGUCAUGGAUAGCAUGAGUAUCUUGAGUGUCCUAGGGACAUCAGUGAUAUGACACAACGUGUGGAGGAGCCCCUCUGCUUCUACUGGAACCAUAAUUCAAUGCACAGAAAGGACCUCUGCGUUGGACUCAACUUUGACGCAUCCUGUCUAUAGGGAUAUGGAGUAUUUUUGGGGAAACACUGAUGCUAAAGAAACUACAGCUUGUCUUCAGAGUUUGGAUCAUUCUGAACUACAUGGACUUAUGUUCAGUGAAUUUCAUGUUCUUUGGAAAUACGUCCUGUCGAUGCUGGUAUUGAAAAGAAAGAUAGAGAAGACACUCUUCCAGACAAGCAAAAGCAGAAGACAUGACCUUGGCUCUGUGAGCUACGACAGAGAGGAACACAGCGAAGGCCUCUGGAAACUUCCAGACAAGUGUGGGUGUGUUUUGUCAGAUGCCAGAAAGUGGGUACUACAGAAGACUUCCUGUGUUUCCUGUGGAUAAAUACUUACACAAAACUAUUUAUUACUGUAAUGCAAGCAGGCUACAAUAUUUCUUAUAAAUUUCAUUUGUUUUAACAGUUGCAUUAGUAAUUUUGCUUUUGCCUGAAUCCUAAGAGGUGUUUUGUUGCUGUUGUUGUUAUUGUUUGUUUUUGUUUUCUUUUUCAAAUAGAACCAAAUACAGGAAAGA